GAUUUCUGGUUUAAUGCACCUCUAUCAAUCAUUACUUCAGUUAUAGAAACCAACAAAAUAGAACCCGAAGUCCUAGAUUAUUAUUCCAUGCUAAUGUAUUCAUAGCAAAAGCCCUUUAAACACUCUAAUUUUUUCAAAGUAAAAGAUCUAGAUCGCAUUCCCAACCAAGUUAAUGGCAGAAACGUUUUCUAGAAGGAUGGUAAACGCGCGCCGGCACUCACAAGCCUAGUGGCCGCGGGCCGGGUGCUAGUAUUGGCCGGCCAGAGGUGAAAUUCUUGGAUUCGGUCAAGACUAACUUAUGCGAAAGCAUU
rnacentral:rRNA from 1 species